rnacentral:lncRNA from 1 species
UUCACGUCAUUUUAUUUCGACCCGUUUGGCGCAUUUGAACAUUGCCUUCGUCGCGAUAGCAAGCGAUGUAGCCUGCACCGAUGUCGGGCCUUUCUUUGACCCAUGUUGCCGUUUUGCCAUACGUCGGUGCGUGUGGUUGCGUUCAAGAGUGCUCACAUGAUUUCGAUAUUCCCGUGGCUCGUGGUUAGAACAACGCUGGAACGGAUAGCUGGGUCAAGCUACGUUUCCCCUCAGACGAGAGGACUUCCCCGUCGCUCAUGGUUCGAAGAACAACGGGGGGACGAACAGCCGGGCCAAGUUACGCUUCCCAAGAACAAGGUGAGCGCAAUUCUU